ensembl:lncRNA
AUGGAGUUGUUCAUCUUCAUAGUGUUUCAGCUCCUGAUGGAGGUUCAGUCUUACAAAUCUCCUACUGUAAAAGUAUCUCCAGAUGUCAUAAGAGAGUCCAGCUCAGUGAAGAUCAGCUGUGAGACUCCAGCAGAUGUUAGAGUGAAUCAGUGUUAUUUCUACACAAACAGAGAAGAGAAGAAUAUAAAAGUCAGUUCAUCAUCUGAGCUCGAGCUCACUGGUGUUGAAGUGCUCAGAUGGGCAGGUGUAAAAUCACCUGAAUCAAUCUACAUUAACUGUUACUACUCAGUAAAUGAACAAGGCAUCAAUAAACCGUCAUCUCAUUCUCCUGCCACAGUGACGGUUCUAGAUUCACUUGAGAAACCCUUCAUCAGUGUUAGUGGAGAUGAUGACCAGCUCAGCAUAUCAUGUGAAAUACCACUUUCAGUCAGAGCUGAUUUCAACUGUAGUCUCUACACUGAGGAUGAUGUUCUUCUGUAUCAACAUGUCUCUCAGUGGAAUCAGUCUGGAAAGAAUCUUUGUAUGUUUUAUGUAAGUCGUAGUGAACUCUUGACACGAUCAGUGAACAGCAGACAACUGUUCUGUGUUUAUUCACUCAAGACUGAACCUGAGAUCAGAUCACCACGCAGUGACACAUACACCUUCAGAGGUGAGUUAUCACUAUUAUGAUUUUUUCAUGAGCACAUUUAACGAUUAGAGAUGCCUGGAUAAUUCUGUAGCCAGAUUUAUUAUGUAGGAUAUUAUGAAAUCUUGGAGGACGAUUGAUCAAAAAGAGAAAUCCAGUCAUUAUAUAGAUCAGUGUCUCAGACACCGAAUC